rnacentral:rRNA from 1 species
UACGUAGGGUGCAAGCGUUGUCCGGAAUUAUUGGGCGUAAAGAGCUCGUAGGCGGUCUGUCGCGUCGGCUGUGAAAUCCCGGAGCUCAACUCCGGGUCUGCAGUCGAUACGGGCAGACUGGAGCUCGGCAGGGGAGACUGGAAUUCCUGGUGUAGCGGUGAAAUGCGCAGAUAUCAGGAGGAACACCGGUGGCGAAGGCGGGUCUCUGGGCCGUAACUGACGCUGAGGAGCGAAAGCGUGGGGAGCGAACAGG